rnacentral:antisense_RNA from 1 species
UGUGGGAGCGAGCUUGCUCGCGAUAGCAAUGGAUCAGUUGCAUGAAUGUCGACUGAUGCACCGCCAUCGCGAGCAAGUUCGCUCCCACA